GAUGAACGCUGGCGGCGUGCCUAAUACAUGCAAGUCGAGCGAACAGACGAGGAGCUUGCUCCUCUGACGUUAGCGGCGGACGGGUGAGUAACACGUGGAUAACCUACCUAUAAGACUGGGAUAACUUCGGGAAACCGGAGCUAAUACCGGAUAAUAUAUUGAACCGCAUGGUUCAAUAGUGAAAGACGGUUUUGCUGUCCCUUAUAGAUGGAUCCGCGCCGCAUUAGCUAGUUGGUAAGGUAACGGCUUACCAAGGCAACGAUGCGUAGCCGACCUGAGAGGGUGAUCGGCCGCACUGGAACUGAGACACGGUCCAGACUCCUACGGGAGGCAGCAGUAGGGAAUCUUCCGCAAUGGGCGAAAGCCUGACGGAGCAACGCCGCGUGAGUGAUGAAGGUCUUCGGAUCGUAAAACUCUGUUAUUAGGGAAGAACAAAUGUGUAAGUAACUAUGCACGUCUUGACGGUACCUAAUCAGAAAGCCACGGCUAACUACGUG
rnacentral:rRNA from 1 species